rnacentral:lncRNA from 1 species
GGAGAAACCAGGAUGGGAACUCUCGGGCUGGAUUCUGAUCAGAGCUGCAUUUGUGGUUUGAAAGCCUCUGUGUUCCCCAAGGCAGUUGUGGCCUUGUACAACAGGAUGGCAGCUUCUGGAAAUUUUUGCUUGUGGACUAUGAUAGGUUGAUUCCAUUGAUAGUCCAAUAAUGCCCUCUGGGUUUCCAAGCCCUUUGCAGUGUGAUUUUACAGCUCCUCUAUUUAAGGGGUAGUAGAGUCUCCUCCUUACAUUUUUAAUCUGGACCUUAACUAAUAGAGUGCAACAGAAGUGAUGGUGGUCCUGCUCCAAGGCUAGGCCUCAGGAAGCCUUGCACAUCCCUACUCUUUUCUUUUGGAACCCCUCAUGACCAUGUGAACAAAUCUGAGCUAGCCUGCUGAAGACCAUGUGGAAAGACAACAGAUAUUCUAAUAGACCUUAUGAGAGACCAGCCAAGAUCAGAAGAGGUGUGCAUGCAAUCCACAGCUGCCUGAAGUCACGUUCUGCAUGCUGAUAAAAUGAUCAACACCUGCUGGUCUGAAGGGCUCAGCAAGAAACUGACUCAUGGAAGAAUGCACUUUCCAUAUUCUAAUGACUUCAUCCCCCUUACCCUGACCAAACGAUAACCCCAAUUUUCUAACCCCUUGCCCUCUCCAAUCCCCUGAAAGAUCCUUGCCCAGAACCCCUCAAUGAAAUGAAUUUGAGUCUCGAGAAUUCCUCCUGUUUCCUCAUUCAGUCAUCUUGCAAUUAUUAAACAACUUGUCUGCUGCA